rnacentral:rRNA from 1 species
CAGCAGCCGCGGUAAUACAGAGGGUGCAAGCGUUAAUCGGAAUUACUGGGCGUAAAGCGCGCGUAGGUGGUUUGUUAAGUUGGAUGUGAAAUCCCCGGGCUCAACCUGGGAACUGCAUCCAAAACUUGCAAGCUAGAGUAUGGUAGAGGGUGGUGGAAUUUCCUGUGUAGCGGUGAAAUGCGUAGAUAUAGGAAGGAACACCAGUGGCGAAGGCGACCACCUGGACUGAUACUGACACUGAGGUGCGAAAGCGUGGGGAGCAAACAGGAUUAGAUACCCGCGUAGUCCCUGUCUCUUAUAC